rnacentral:rRNA from 1 species
GCGCGACCCCAGGAUGGGUGGGGUGACCCGCUGAGUUUAAGCAUAUCAAUGAGCGGAGGAGAGGAAACUUACGAGGAUUCCCCUA